UGCAGGUGCUGAUUUCUGCUUACUUCUAGUCUGCCUCAGUUUCCCUGGCUGGGCUGGCUGGCUGUUACCAGCACAGUCAUACAUCUUGGUGAUGAGUUCUUUUCUGCUUAGGAGUGGUAUGUGCUUCUGCAAAAGCAAAGCAGCAAUUCUAGAGCAAGACCAGAGCCCAGGAAUCAUUCUCCCUUUCCUACUGCUCAGACCAUCACACACUAAUUUUGCCCAUGGGAUCCUCAUGGCCACCCUUGUGUAUUGGCUUGGUUUGAAACAGAUCUAAGGUUGAAUAAAAGCAAGAGGGCCAGUACUGACUGUAAAGGAGUGUGCUGUUAGGUGGACAUCAAAAUGGGAGGCUUCUGCCUCCUCCCAAGCAAGCAGGAUGGCAUGAAAGACAGCUCUGUGCUUCCUUCUGGCAGUUCUCUCCCAAUGCUGGCACACUUCUCCUCAGCUCCCAGAGUAUUAUCCCACUACUGUCCUAAAAGCUGUGCCUGUGGGGUAGUGCACUGUGCCUCCUGCAGCAAGGAAAUAGUGCUGUGUCUGGAUCCAGUGGAGUUUCCUUUCCCUGACAAGUAGUUUUGCAUCCUGCUGUGCCCCUUGCAGUCUGACAAGGAAGUUUCUGAUGCCUUGUAGGUGCCAGCAUCUGCAUGGAGUCAUACCCAGGUAAGGGCUGGAAACACUUAGAAGACAUUCAGUUAUGUCCCCUCCUGUUUUGCAGACUUGCUUUUAUUUGGGUCCUACCAAGGCACAAAGGAAGAUUUUAUGUCUUGCCUUGAGAAGCAGAAACUGUGACAGAAAUCCAGAACUAGCUUGCUUUUUGAAAUUAAGAUGGCUAAAACUGAGAGAGCUAUCUCUAAGGGAAAAGCAGACUGCCUUGUGUUGAUAUGAAAAAUAACAGGCUGCCUCAGAAGCUGUUUACAUUGAUCUUCACUCUAUUUGUCAGGAGAGAAACUUCUUGUGCUUUUGUCUGUGCUGGGAGUGCCUCAGCACUGAGGAAGCUGUGCCAAGAGGACUCACAAAAUGAACCUGUACCUGCAAUAAAGUGGUUUUGAGCUUCAGCUGGACAACAUGCUCUCACAUCACUGCUGCCAGCUCUGAGCAUCCAGCAAAGAUAAGACAGGCUGUGAAACACCAAGAUUGUGGAGAAGCAGGGGGACAUAGGCCCUGUGCUUGUGUCUCAUGGUUAUUGAGAAAAGGAUCCAAAUGUGAAGCAAGUUUUGCUCUGAUGGUUCAAAACUGGAAGACAACACACAGAACCAGAAUUGUCCUGGUAUGGCUGGAUACCUGUUACAAUAUGAACACGAGCCCUUUCUCUGUCCUUGGCUGCCCUGGUGCUAUUAAAAUCCACCAAGGCUUCCCUCUCUGAGUGGUACUGACUGGAGAAUUCUUCAUCUGGCUUCCUUAUGCUUCCCUGCUUCUUCUCAGGCAUGUGCCAAGGUUUUCAAGCCUCUGAAAGUUUGGAAGAUUUUCAGGUUUAACACGUGGAUGGAACGUGGGAAGUUUCAUCUGAGCUGGGGUUUUGCAGUUGAUCAUUAUUAAAUCAGCAGUACCACAUGAUCAUAGCUGGGGAGUGCAGUGCCAUUUGAUGAAGUCAUUCUCUUCUGUGCAUGAAUUGACUCGUAUUUCUUUGCUAUUUUAAAUCAAAUUAAAGAGAAGUGCCACGCAACACA